rnacentral:rRNA from 1 species
GGCUCAGGAUGAACGCUAGCUACAGGCUUAACACAUGCAAGUCGCGGGGCAGCAUGAAUUUAGCUUGCUAAAUUUGAUGGCGACCGGCGCACGGGUGAGUAACGCGUAUCCAACCUGCCCUAUACACGGGGAUAGCCUUGCGAAAGUAAGAUUAAUACCCGAUGCCAAAUUGAGAUCGCAUGAUUUUGAUUUGAAAGAAAUUCGGUAUAGGAUGGCGAUGCGUCUGAUUAGGUAGAUGGCGGGGUAACGGCCCACCAUGCCGACGAUCAGUAGGGGUUCUGAGAGGAAGGUCCCCCACAUUGGAACUGAGACACGGUCCAAACUCCUACGGGAGGCAGCAGUGAGGAAUAUUGGUCAAUGGUCGCGAGACUGAACCAGCCAAGUAGCGUGCAGGACGACGGCCCUCUGGGUUGUAAACUGCUUUUAGUUGGGAAUAAAAGGCGGUACGUGUACCGCGUAUUGUAUGUACCAUCAGAAAAAGGACCGGCUAAUUCCGUG